GGUAACGUGGCCGAGCGGUCUAAGGCGCUGGUUUAAGGCACCAGUCUUUUCGAAGGCGUGAGUUCGAAUCUCACCGUUGCCA